CUGUGCUGGAGUCAUCCUCAUACAGAUCAUACAAAGACAUGAGUGUGUCCACUCAGCUCCUGGCUUUUCUGGUGCUGUGGUUAACAGAUGCCAAAUGUGACAUCCAGAUGACCCAGUCUCCAGCCACCAUGUCUGCAUCUGUGGGACAAAGUGUCUCCAUUACAUGUCUGGGAAGUGAAGACAUUUAUGAUGCUUUACAUUGGUAUCAGCAGAAACCAGGGAAAUCUCCUCAACUCCUGAUCUAUGCUGCAAACAACUUGGCAGAUGGUGUCCCAUCACGGUUCAGCGGCAGUGGAUCUGGCAGACAGUAUUCUCUCAAGAUCAACAGCCUGCAGCCUGAAGAUGUUGCAACUUAUUUCUGUGAGCAGAGUUAUGACUAUCUUCUCACAGUGAUUUAA